rnacentral:rRNA from 1 species
AACGAACGCUGGCGGCAUGCCUAACACAUGCAAGUCGAACGAGACCUUCGGGUCUAGUGGCGCACGGGUGCGUAACGCGUGGGAAUCUGCCCUUGGGUUCGGAAUAACAGUUAGAAAUGACUGCUAAUACCGGAUAAUGUCUUCGGACCAAAGAUUUAUCGCCCAGGGAUGAGCCCCGCGUAGGAUUAGCUAGUUGGUGAGGUAAAGGCUCACCAAGGCGACGAUCCUUAGCUGGUCUGAGAGGAUGAUCAGCCACACUGGGACUGAGACACGGCCCAGACUCCUACGGGAGGCAGCAGUGGGGAAUAUUGGACAAUGGGCGAAAGCCUGAUCCAGCAAUGCCGCGUGAGUGAUGAAGGCCUUAGGGUUGUAAAGCUCUUUUACCCGGGAUGAUAAUGACAGUACCGGGAGAAUAAAGCCCCGGCUAACUCCGUGCCAGCAGCC